rnacentral:rRNA from 1 species
GUGAACGCUGGCGGUAGGCCUAACACCUGCCAGUCGAACGGCAGCACAGUAAGAGCUUGCUCUUACGGGUGGCGAGUGGCGGACGGGUGAGGAAUACAUCGGAAUCUACUUUUUCGUGGGGGAUAACGUAGGGAAACUUACGCUAAUACCGCAUACGACCUACGGGUGAAAGCAGGGGAUCUUCGGACCUUGCGCGAUUGAAUGAGCCGAUGUCGGAUUAGCUAGUUGGCGGUGUAAAGGCCCACCAAGGCGCCGCUCCGUAGCUGGUCUCAGAGGAUGAUCAGCCACACUGGAACUGAGACACGGUCCAGACUCCUACGGGAGGCAGCAGUGGGGAAUAUUGGACAAUGGGCGCAAGCCUGAUCCAGCCAUACCGCGUGGGUGAAGAAGGCCUUCGGGUUGUAAAGCCCUUUUGUUGGGAAAGAAAAGCAGCAGUUUAAUACCCCGCGGUUCUGACGGUACCCAAAGAAUAAGCACCGGCUAACUUCGUG